AAUAUGGAUGUCUUUUUUUUUUUUUUUCCCUGCCGAAUUGUUCUGGCUUGAACUUCUAAAACAAUGUUGAAUACACGUGAUGAGAGUGGACAUCCUUGACUUGUUCCUGGUAUUAGAUGGACCCGGAGAUCAGGGCCAGAGCCAAAGGCAGAAGCUUAACGGAGCCAUCCAGGCACCUGCAAGACUGGCUUGCCUUCUUGUGCUUUUGUCAUCAUCAUGGAGAACUUCUGGAGAACUUCUGUAGUCUAGUUGAAGUCUGAAGAGGAACACGGACAGAGUGGACCCAAGCUCGACUCACGGCAAGUAGUCAAGCCCAGCCAGAUCUCCGGCUUGAAGCAGUCACCCAGCCAAGCCUGUCAGCCAACCUGCAAAAGCAUGAGUGACAAUGAUUAUUUUAAGUUGAGAUUUAGGGCAGCAACAGCAACUGAAACAUAAGUACACAUCUUUCUCUUAGACUCAUCCUAAGGGCAAAUCUUGUUACCUCUUCCUUCAGUGCUACAGGUCCAGAAUCUAGCACACUUUCUGGUAAUGAGCAGAUGUUCAAUUAACAUCUGUUGCAGUCACAUUUACAUUUCUUCUAAAAUUAGUGACUUAGAAUAAAACUGAAAGGAA